rnacentral:rRNA from 1 species
AAUCGCGGAUCAGAAUGCCGCGGUGAAUACGUUCCCGGGUCUUGUACACACCGCCCGUCACACCAUGGGAGUCGGAAAUGCCCGAAGCCGGUGGCCUAACCGAUAAGGGAGGAGCCGUCGAAGGCAGGUCUGAUGACUGGGGUGAAGUCGUAACAAGGUAAC